rnacentral:sRNA from 1 species
ACACUCAUUGUGCUCCAGAAACAACACCUAUAGGAUUUGCUCCUAAGUUUUUCUUUUUUUUUUUGUAUAUAUCAUGCGGAAAACCAAGUCCCAACAAUAAAAACUGAAUCAAUGAGGUAGGCAGCAGUAUCGCAAUUUGAAGCACCUUUCGACGAUGGAAAAUAUACCUGAUCUAGGGCAUGACGAUGGAUGGGGCGAGGAUCCGUCGCUAACAGGACAAGUAUAUACAGACGUUGUUACGACGCGGUCUUGGGAUCUAGGAAGACCAGGAUAAAUGGCAUAAUGCUGCGGAUUCUGAGCUUUGUCAAUCAUAUUCAUUCUUAUAACAAAUGAAU